CAGCCGCCACGGUAAUACAGAGGGUGCGAGCGUUAAUCGGAUUUACUGGGCGUAAAGCGUGCGUAGGCGGCUUUUUAAGUCGGAUGUGAAAUCCCUGAGCUUAACUUAGGAAUUGCAUUCGAUACUGGGAAGCUAGAGUAUGGGAGAGGAUGGUAGAAUUCCAGGUGUAGCGGUGAAAUGCGUAGAGAUCUGGAGGAAUACCGAUGGCGAAGGCAGCCAUCUGGCCUAAUACUGACGCUGAGGUACGAAAGCAUGGGGAGCAAACAGGAUUAGAGACCCCGGUAGUCCCUGUCUCUUAUAC
rnacentral:rRNA from 1 species